UGAAUCGCGCCGGUGUGACCGCACGCGUUUCUCUUGCUAGCCUCGUUUGUUUCUGGUUGAAGUUCAUCAUCCGUUGAAAUUGCUAAUAAGAAAUUAAUUUCAACUUUACGCGCUUAUCGGUAUUUGUGUUUGUGUAAAUUCGAGGUGCGGUGCAUCUGUGGAAAAUUGAAUUCGUUCAGUCGGUACAAUCUAGCAUCUACGGCAUGUUCCUUCUGGAAAUCGUUCCGCGGGAUUUUCCACCUGAGUCUGACAUCGUAGAAGGACCAUUCUUGCAUCAGAUUGGAUUUUGCACCUGAGUCUGACAUCGUAGAAGGACCAUUCUUGCAUCAGAUUGGAUUUUGCACCUGAGUCUGACAUCGUAGAAGUACCAUUCUUGCAUCAGAUUGGAUUUUGCACUUGAGUCUGACAUCGUAGAAGGAGCAUUCUUGCAUCUGAUUGGAUUUUGCCCCUGAGUCUGACAUCGCAGAAGACCAUUCUGGUAUCAGAUUGAUUUUGCACCUGAGUCUGAUAUCGUAGAAGGACCAAUCUUGCAUCAGAUUGUAAGUAUUAAAUUUCAUUAUCUUAAAUAAAUUUUGUGAUUAUUACACAAAUUGACUCCCUAAAUUUAUGCUUGUGUGUUUUCUUUAAUAAAGAAUAUUUUUAAGUUUUUCUAAUUAUAAA